rnacentral:lncRNA from 1 species
GUUAAACUCAACACAUGUUUAAUCUGGAAUAUACAAUGCUGUCCUCAAUUGAUGACUAUACAAUUGACUAUAAGUGUUUCAAAACAGCUAAUGUAUUAUUUGAUUAAGUAUAUUACCCUUCACGUUUUUUUCUCCUCCAGGCUCUGUUACUUCAAGCAAUUUCUAUCUUGUAAAAUAACAGUAGUGGAGAAAAUUGGCAUAACUCGUAAUUUAUGAGAAAUAUAGGAAAAAAAGCAUAGUCAUUUGACUAAGAAUUUUCUAAUUGGUUAACUGCUAUAAGUGCCUUAGAUAAGAUGUCCUUAUGACAUAAUCUAUAGUAAGUGAAGUUUUGGACACGGGAUUUUGUGAUAACCUGAUGUGGCUGCAGUAUUCUAUUAAGAAGAGUUCUCUGUUCAUAAAUGUUCAAGGUUACAGUAGAAAAAAAUUGAAUCAAAUAUGAUUUUACCAUGAAAGGGGAGAACUAAGUGUAGGCACCAGUUCUGUUUCCUCAGAGAAGGAGAAGACUUCCUGUGGCAUACAUGUGUCAAAAUAUGAACCUUGAUAACUGAAGCCACAGGCCUCAGUGGUUUUCCUGCAUCUGGGAGAACAAAGCUAUUCAUGGUUUUAAGAAAAGGUUUGUACUGUUUACCAUCACAUCUUUCUUAUACUUAUAUCUGCAAAAAAGACCAUUUUGCCUUAUGAGUGUUUUGUCCAGGCGUUACAAAGUUUUUCUACUGUUAGUAACUCCGUCACAACUCUCUUAAGCUGAGCCCUGUAAAAUCUUCCUUUUCAUUUAGGUGAAAGAAAAUUAGUAUUUUUGUGACUGUGGUUGUUGCUGUUUUUGUGCCCACAGAUGUUUUAAAACUAAUCUUGGGUAAGGUAAACUGUUUUUCCAUCCAUAUUACAAAAAAUAAAGUGAAACGAGGAGGAAAAAAAGUGUGGUAUUUGCAGUUUUGUUAUGUGGGUUUGAAAAAUAAGAUAUUGUUUUCAGUUAUUUAUAAUAAAGAAGUAUACUGAGUACAUUGUAUAAUGCCAACAUGUGUGUAGCAAUUUGACAUGCAUAGCUUUUGCAUUUAAUUAAUGGAGGAUAAAAUAGAUACUAUAACUUUGUCUUUAAAUUUCUAUUCCAAUAAAAGUUGUGUCAUUUCUAUGACAGUUUUUCAUAAUAUUAGAACAUUAUUUCAUUUAAAUAAAAUUGAAAAUAAUUUGUGCAACUU